UAUUAUUGUCCAUUUAGAGAUGUUCCAAUACCGAUACCACUAUCGGUAUCGCCUCAGAUGCUGCCUAAAACGCUGUUAUCGGUAUUGGGAAAUACUGGAGUUCAUUCACCGAUCCAACACCAUGU